rnacentral:rRNA from 1 species
CGGAGGGUGCAAGCGUUAUCCGGAUUCACUGGGCUUAAAGGGUGUGUAGGCGGGCUGUUAAGUCAGUGGUGAAAUCUCCAGGCUCAACCUGGAAACUGCCAUUGAUACUAUCAGUCUUGAAUACUGUUGAGGUAGGCGGAAUAAGUCAUGUAGCGGUGAAAUGCAUAGAUAUGACUUAGAACACCAAUUGCGAAGGCAGCUUACUAAACAGUUAUUGACGCUGAGGCACGAAAGCGUGGGGAUCAAACAGGAUUAGAUACCCUGGUAGUCCACGCCCUAAACGAUGAUUACUCGACAUACGUGAUACACAAUGUGUGUCUGAGCGAAAGCAUUAAGUAAUCCACCUGGGAAGUACGUCCGCAAGGAUG